rnacentral:lncRNA from 1 species
AGCUCCCUCCUCUCUGCAAGUGUCUCAAGGCCAAAGACAGACUGGUGGGAAAGUUCCGACCAGCAAAGCCAUAUGCUCCCCCUCCCCUACCUAAAACCCCAAAUAAAAACACUUCCUUUUAGCUUUUUCGGGGAGUUUGGGAUUUCAGCGUUAGCUGCCCUCUCUCCUUGCUCAGCGCUGUGCAAAAAUAAAGUUCCUACUUUCUUCCACCACCCCUGGUGUCAGAGAUUGGCUUGCUGUGCAACGGAGUAAAAAUCUGAACACUUGAAUUUUCUUGGGUGCCCAUGGAACAGCCUUUCUCUUGAGAUUCAGUGCCUACCUUCUGCCUUGAACUGCAGCUAAAGGGGAUUCUUCUGACUGUGGGGUAAAACAACAGUGUUCACUUGAGAAGACCUGUAAAGAGAGAGGCGCUGUCUCUGUUCUUCUACCUGGGACAGCAGUUCCAACCUGGAGAGCUCUCUGAUAGUGUACUCCACACCGACACCUCAGGGCACUUGGACAGAUCAAAGAGACAGUGCGCUUGCCAUGAAUUCCAGCCUCCUCAGCAUGACUAUAGCUGCAGAGGUAUUGAUCCCUAGGCACUCCCUAACAAACGUCCAUCUCAGAGUCUGCUUAAUACAGAACCCAACCUGGGAAACUCCGAAUUGACUUGCAGCCUGCAGAGGAGAAGACAGAAGAGGUCACCCAUGGAAGAGAAAAGGAACAUGGAGAAGAGAGCGAAAAGAAGACUUAUUCAGGGGAGCCGUGGAAAAAGAAGUGAAUUACCAUUCCAGGAUUGGUGACAUGUUUAGCCCCCAGAGCAGUAUUGUCCAAUAGCAACAUACUGUGAGCCACAAAUACAAGCUCUCCAAGGGAUUUUAAAUUUUCUAGUAGGCACAUUAAAAAAGUAAGAAGAAACCCAUUAUAUUCAACGUGUUUUCAUUUUAAUAUGCAAUCAAUACAACCCUUUUUAAUGACAAAUUUUACAUCAUUUUUUUUUCUGUGCUAAAUACUUGGAAUUUGGUGUGCAUUUUAUAUUUGCAGCACAUCUCAGUUGGGUUUAGCCACAUUUCAAGUGCUCAAAGGCCACAAAUGACUAGUGGCUGCUGUACUGGACAACGUAACUCUAAGAGACUCCACUUCUCUUUUUAUUCAGUUUUUUGGGAGAUAAAUAAAUUCCUCAGAAAAAGCAGUGAGGGUUGAUAAAGGAUGC